UACGGAGGGUGCAAACGUUGCUCGGAAUCAUUGGGCGUAAAGCGAACGUAGGCGGCAUUGCAAGUCGGGUGUGAAAGCCCUCGGCUCAACCGAGGAAGUGCAUUCGAAACUGCAACGCUUGAGUGUCGGAGAGGAUAGCGGAAUUCUCGGUGUAGAGGUGAAAUUCGUAGAUAUUGGGAGGAACACCAGUGGCGAAGGCGGCUCACUGGACCGGUACUGACGCUGAUGCGCGAAAGCGUGGGGAGCAAACGGG
rnacentral:rRNA from 1 species